rnacentral:rRNA from 1 species
AUUGAACGCUGGCGGCGUGCCUAACGCAUGCAAGUCGAGCGGUAACAGGUGUAGCAAUACAUGCUGACGAGCGGCGGACGGGUGAGUAACGCUUGGGAAUCUGCCUGUUAGUGGGGGACAACCCGGGGAAACUCGGGCUAAUACCGCAUACGCACUACGGUGGAAAGCCGGGGACCGCAAGGCCUGGCGCUAACAGAUGAGCCCAAGUCGGAUUAGCUAGUUGGUAGGGUAACGGCCUACCAAGGCGACGAUCCGUAACUGGUCUGAGAGGACGACCAGUCACACCGGAACUGAGACACGGUCCGGACUCCUACGGGAGGCAGCAGUGGGGAAUAUUGGACAAUGGGCGAAAGCCUGAUCCAGCGACGCCGCGUGGGUGAAGAAGGCCUGCGGGUUGUAAAGCCCUUUUCAGUGGGGAAGAAAAGCCUCGAGUUAAUACCUCGGGGUCUUGACGUAACCAUAGAAGAAGCNCCGGCUAACUCUGUGCCAGCAGCCGCAGUAAC